UUCAAUUUCAGCAAUUUAUGCCAAAUUUUAUCUAGUAAAAAAAAUUGUCAAAAUUGAAAUAAAAUAUUUUUUUUUAUUCCAUUUACAUAUAAAAAUAAUUUUUAAAAUUUCUUUUCUCAUAUCUUUUCCUCUUCAAUUUCUCUUCUCUCUCAUAAGCAAACUCCUACCAAUCUGAAACUUAGUCAAAUGCAUCUGUAUCCCCGUAGCUCCCAUCAAAACGGAACUCAAAACCUAAAGAUAAGCAGAGAAAACACACCAAUGAGAGCUUUGGUUUGUGCAAAUCAAGAAGGAGUUGUUUUUGCACCAAACUUCUUUGAUAUGUUGCUCAUUGUUUUCGGCGAAGCUAAGGACAAUGGAAUGUCGCUGGCAUCUCGUGACGUCAAGGGAACCUUCCUCAAACUUCGCUAGAGACUAGAAAGGGAGAAAUGAAGGGCAACAACUUUGGGUCUAACUUUCUCUCUCUAUUUAGCAAUUUUGGGUGAGUUUGAAGCUUACCAAGGUUAACAGGUUGUGUAGAGGUUAAGA
rnacentral:misc_RNA from 1 species